rfam:Leersia perrieri chromosome 7, whole genome shotgun sequence.
AGGCUCGACGAUGAUGAUCUUGUGUCAUACAUCCUCUCCGGCCUCGACUUCGACUACGACCCUGUGGUUUUGGCGGUUGCAGCCCGCGUGGAACCCAUCUCGGUUGGGGAACUGAUCGCCCAACUCACAAGCUUUGAGC